UACGGAGGGUGCAAACGUUGCUCGGAAUCAUUGGGCGUAAAGCGCACGUAGGCGGCCUGUUAAGUCGGAUGUGAAAGCCCUUGGCUCAACUGAGGAAGUGCACCCGAAACUGAGUGGCUUGAGUACUAAAGAGGGUCGCGGAAUUCCCGGUGUAGAGGUGAAAUUCGUAGAUAUCGGGAGGAACACCGGUGGCGAAGGCGGCGACCUGGGUAGAUACUGACGCUGAGGCGCGAAAGCGUGGGGAGCAAACAGG
rnacentral:rRNA from 1 species